UUUGGGGGAUUUGCACUCCGAGUACUGGACUGCUGGGAAGGGGGGAGUUGAACCCCAUGAAUAAGUUUACAGCUUACCGCCUUGGCUCGGCCACCUAACC
rnacentral:tRNA from 1 species